rnacentral:rRNA from 1 species
UACGUAGGGCGCAAGCGUUGUCCGGAAUUAUUGGGCGUAAAGAGCUCGUAGGUGGCCUGUCGCGUCGGCUGUGAAAACUCGGGGCUCAACUCCGAGCUUGCAGUCGAUACGGGCAGGCUAGAGUUCGGCAGGGGAGACUGGAAUUCCUGGUGUAGCGGUGAAAUGCGCAGAUAUCGGGAGGAACACCAGAGGCGAAGGCGGCCACAUGGACAGUGACUGACACUCAACUACGAAAGCGUGGGGAGCAAACAGG